AAAAAGAUAAACCGCAGGUUUACGUACCAAUGUUUGAUUGUCCGUCUUAUAUAAUUUUUUUUUAUAAUUAGUAUUUUUAUUGUUGUUAGAUGAUAAAACAUGAUGAAUACUUUAUACGUGACUUAUCUUUUUAAUUUUUUUUAUAAUUUUUUUAAAUAAGACGGAGAGUCAAACAUUGGACACGGAAAUAAAGGUUUGUCUUUUUU
rfam:Oryza sativa Japonica Group DNA, chromosome 8, cultivar: Nipponbare, complete sequence.